rnacentral:rRNA from 1 species
UACCGUGAAACUGCGAAUGGCUCAUUAAAUCAGUUAUCGUUUAUUUGAUAGUACCUUACUACUUGGAUAACCGUGGUAAUUCUAGAGCUAAUACAUGCUGAAAACCCCAACUUCGGGAGGGGUGUAUUUAUUAGAUAAAAAACCAACGCCCUUCGGGGCUUCUUGGUGAUUCAUGAUAACUUCACGGAUCGCAUGGCCUUGCGCCGGCGACGGUUCAUUCAAAUUUCUGCCCUAUCAACUUUCGAUGGUAAGGUAUUGGCUUACCAUGGUUUCAACGGGUAACGGGGAAUUAGGGUUCGAUUCCGGAGAGGGAGCCUGAGAAACGGCUACCACAUCCAAGGAAGGCAGCAGGCGCGCAAAUUACCCAAUCCCGACACGGGGAGGUAGUGACAAUAAAUACUGAUACAGGGCUCUUUUGGGUCUUGUAAUUGGAAUGAGUACAAUUUAAACCUCUUAACGAGGAACAAUUGGAGGGCAAGUCUGGUGCCAGCAGCCGCGGUAAUUCCAGCUCCAAUAGCGUAUAUUAAAGUUGUUGCAGUUAAAAAGCUCGUAGUUGAAACUUGGGCCUGGCUGGCAGGUCCGCCUCACCGCGUGUACUUGUCCGGCCGGGCCUUUCCUUCUGGAGAACCUCAUGCCCUUCACUGGGUGUGUUGGGGAACCAGGACUUUUACUUUGAAAAAAUUAGAGUGUUCAAAGCAGGCCUUUGCUCGAAUACGUUAGCAUGGAAUAAUAGAAUAGGACGUGCGGUCCUAUUUUGUUGGUUUCUAGGACCGCCGUAAUGAUUAAUAGGGACAGUCGGGGGCAUCAGUAUUCAAUUGUCAGAGGUGAAAUUCUUGGAUUUAUUGAAGACUAACUACUGCGAAAGCAUUUGCCAAGGAUGUUUUCAUUAAUCAGUGAACGAAAGUUAGGGGAUCGAAGACGAUCAGAUACCGUCGUAGUCUUAACCGUAAACUAUGCCGACUAGGGAUCGGGCGAUGUUCUUUUUCUGACUCGCUCGGCACCUUACGAGAAAUCAAAGUU